rnacentral:lncRNA from 1 species
GCACAAGCAGAAAAACCAGCCAGGGUGCUAUUUCAGCAGUCUAGGUGGAGAGUCAUGGUGACUUGGACCCAUCCAACAGAGACGAAGACAACUAAAUGGAUUCAGGAUAUAUUCUAGAGAUAAUACAGAAAAUCACCUCUAUUUCAUAAUGAGACUACUGAGACAAGUUAUGUGGAAAACUAUUCUGCUUAGCAAACCCCACUUUGAUGCUCUCUCUUCUGUAGAUCUAGAGAUAACGAGUCCUAACUCUUUGCCAAGGAUAUGGCAAAGACUCUGAUGGAAAAGGCAGUAAUGUGUACACAAAGGUGAACAUAAAUAAAUGUGUGUAUGAUAAACGCUGGGAAUGGACAUAGAAAAACGGGUAUGCAAUUGGACAGAGACGACGGGAGACAGAAGGAAAGAUACUUGCUCAGCUGUAUCUAAGUAAGUUCAUAGGAGUUUCAUGGUCUGAAAAAUCUGUGACAGUGGAAUUUCUACUAAGAAGCUUAAAAAAGUUUCACCUUCUCCUUGGACACUUCAGAAUAAGGCCUUCUUAGAAUAUAAUGCAUUAUAUCACAAAUAUACUUUUAUAUAAAAUAUUUGGGACCAAAACAAGAGUAAAGAACCAGGAUCCGAAAGGGUGAAUGCCUACUAAAUAUCUUUGAUUAUCUAAAGCUGUUUAAAAGCUAUUAGAUUGGCACCUGGAACCCCAAAAUAUCCACUUUUCACUGGGAAGGAGUGGCUGUGCCUCUUCAAUCAUCCCCUAAAUGCAAAGAAGUUUGACCCCCACGCAAUGGAUAAAAGUCACCCAAAAAAUGAACAAAAGAGGUGUUUGGAAAAACCAGAACACCAUUCAUCCCAGCUAACGACUUGUUCAUUAUGAGUGAUGAUGGAUAAAGACUUCUCAUGCUGAGAUGAAAUCAAGAUUUAUAUGCAUUGUUUCCUCUCCCAACUUGUGGGAAGAUCAUCAUCAUUUAAUUCUAUCUCUGCGGCCAGUGAUGGGCAUCCAGAGAGCUGGUUAUCAAACGGCGCAGUCAGCUGGCAAAAGCCGAAACGUGCAGUUGGCACAUCUGGACGGAGCCGCCACAGCCGAGGGUGAACAAUGACUCCUGGCAAGCAUCCAAAUUGCUUGCAGACGCUAGCAGGUCUCAUCUACAACCGCCCCUACCAGCAUCUCUCUCUCUCUCUCUUUUUUAUGAGAAUCAGAUUUUCAUUGCUCCAUUCAAUUGCUCUCCUCUGCCAUUUUUUACAGCUCUUAUCGUUCCCCUGGAAUAUGGCCUUGAGACAGCUCAUCCGUGUCCUUCACUGUGUUAUCUCUUCUAACUUUUAUUAAAACUUCAGCUUUCAUCUGAAGAUAGCUAAUUAAAUCUGGAACAGAUUAUAUGCCUCCCCUUAAAAAGAGCACAAAACUAUUUUCUUCAACCCCAGCAAUGCUUUUUUUCCUUUCCAAAAGGUAAAAUCAAAGGUGUUUAAGAAGUCUCUUUAUUUACAGAGCUAAGAUAUUCAACACGUCAUAUAUGAGUUGAUUUAUAUUAAAGUUGUCUGUGAUAUGACAAAUCUUUGAGCUAUUUCUCAAGAUGAUUAUUUCUCAAUCCUGGUAUAUAUCCUUUAAAUAUCACAGCUAAUACUAUAAGCAUAUUUUCUAUAUAAAGUUGGGUAAUGAGGAGUUAAGUUAUUAGUGCACAUCAAGUGAUUUGUCUUUUUAUUCGUCUUUUUUUUUUAAAGGUUGCCCUCAUUUGAUAAGGAUGAAGAGAAAUUUUUCUUUUCUUCCCCAUACCACAAAUAUUAGUAACUAAAAGUUCUCCCAUGGGAAAUUAUGUGAAAACAUGAAAUUAAUAGCAGUGAUUCAAGUUUAGGACUGAUUCGGUUUUCAAGACAGCUUUAUAUCAACUGAUCAUCAGCACAAGUAGCUCUGUCUGAGUCUACCACAAAUUAUUAAUGAAGGAACUUCCACAAUUGAUAUGAAUACAUUCUUCUCACAUAUGCCGCUGACCCAGUCCCUUUCUGAGGCCGAGGGGCAGUGUACAAUCACCUUUUCUUGCAUAGAUCAGCUAACCAAACCUUCUAGCAAUGACAUCUGAAAGAAUCUAGCCAGCCAUCACACACACACACCCCCUAUGCCCUUUUAAUAAGGGUUAAGCUUCUACUACUGUGAGAAUAUGAUUUAACUAUC